rnacentral:ribozyme from 1 species
AGAAGAAAAAGAAAAAAAAGAGAAAAAGAAAAAGAAAAAAAAAUGUGCAAUUAAAAAUUCGCGAAUCAACGCAUGGAGGAAUCAUGUUUUGUUUUGGGAGAACGUCGUUUUCUUUUUUGUUUUUUUGCUUGCCGCGAUUUUUUAUUUUGUGCUUUUCUCCUUUCUU